UUGACAGAAAAGAUGUUGUCAUUUUCAGAAAAAGCUGGUGAUGGUGAUGUCAUCCAAUGAGCCUUCAGGACACUGAAAUCAUCAAUGUCCCUAGAAAUGGUGACAAAU
rnacentral:snoRNA from 1 species